CUUGUGUUUCAUCCGCAAGUUUCCUUGUUGGUCCAAGGAAAAUCCCAAGUACGAAGUGUCUCUUUGUACUUGUUUUUUUCCUUGGCCCAACGACUAGAAACGCCUACUAAUACCCCGUAUUAUGAGGAUAAAAAGGUGGAAUCUGCGCGAGGAGGGGCUCGUGUCUGAUUAGCUAGUUAGUAAGGCAAUAGCUUGCCAAUGCGAUGAUCAGUGGCUGGUCCGAAAGGAUGAUCAGCCAGACUGGGACUAAGACACGACCCAGACUCCUACGGUAGGUAGCAGUGGGAACUUUCUGCAAUUAACGAAAGCUAGAUAGAGCAAUGCCACGUGGAGGUAGAAGGCCCACGGGUUGUGAACUUCUUUUCUCGAAGAAGAAGCAAUAAUGGUAUAUGAGGAAUAAGCAUUGACUAAAUCUAUGGCAUCAAUCGCAGUAAUGCAGAAGAUGCAACCAUUUUCAUCAAUGAAUGGGCGUAAAGCGUCUGAAUGUCACUUUUUGAGUCGGUCAUAAAAUCCCAGGGCUCAAUCCUGGAUAGAUGGUGGAAAUUAUCAAGUUUGAGUAUAGUAGGGGCAGAGGAAUUUUCGGUGGACCGAUUCAAUGUGUAGAUAAUGAAAAGAAGACCAACGGAGAAAGCAUUCUAUUUGGGCCGACACUGAGAGACGAAAGCUAGGGGAGAGAAUGGGAUUAAAUACCCAAAUAAUCCUAGUCGUAAAAUAUGGAUACUAGGCGUUGUGUGUAUCGAAUCGUGUAGUGUUGUAGCUAACGUGUUAUGUAUCUCACCAGGAAAGUAUGUUCGCAAAAAUGAAACUCAAAGAAAUUGACGGGGCCCCGCACAAGCAGUGGAGCAUGUGGUUAAAUUCGAUUCAAAGUGGAGAAUCUUAUCAAGGCUUGAAAUGAUGCGAAUCCUCUUGAAAGAGAGGGGUUUCUUUGGGAACACGUACAUAUGUGGUGCAUGAUUAUCGUCAGGUCAUGAUGUAAAGUGUUCGGUUAAGUCCCACAAUGAGUGCCACCCUCGUGUUAAGUGUCCAUCGUUGAGUUUGGAAUCCUAAAGAGACUGACUGUGAUAGGCGAGGAUGACUUCAAGUGAUCAUGCCCCUUAUGCCUUGGGUGACACACGUGCUACAAUAGUUGGGACAAAGGGUCGCAUCUAGCGAGGGUGCGCUAACCCCUAAAACCCUUCGUCAAUUCGGAUUGCAGGCUUCAACUCGUCUUCAUGAAGAAAGAAUUUCUAGUAAUCGUCAGUCAUCCCUACGAUGAUGAAUUCGUAUUCGGACCUUGUACACACCGCCUGUCACACCAUGGGAGCGGGCCAUGCCUGAAGUAAGGAGAGGAGUGCUGAAAGAUGGGUUAUUAAUUGGAGUGAAGUCGUAACAAGGUAGUCAUACAGGAAGGUGCUACUA
rnacentral:rRNA from 1 species